GACGAACGCUGGCGGCGUGCUUAACACAUGCAAGUCGAACGGAAAGGCCCUGCUUUUGUGGGGUGCUCGAGUGGCGAACGGGUGAGUAACACGUGAGUAACCUGCCCUUGACUUUGGGAUAACUUCAGGAAACUGGGGCUAAUACCGGAUAGGAGCUCCUGCUGCAUGGUGUGGGUUGGAAAGUUUCGGCGGUUGGGGAUGGACUCGCGGCUUAUCAGCUUGUUUGUGGGGUAGUGGCUUACCAAGCCUUUGACGGGUAGCCGGCCUGAGAGGGUGACCGGCCACAUUGGGACUGAGAUACGGCCCAGACUGCUACGGGAGGCAGCAGUGGGGAAUAUUGCACAAUGGGCGGAAGCCUGAUGCAGAAACGCCGCGUGCGGGAUGACGGCCUUCGGGUUGUAAACCGCUUUCGCCUGUGACGAAGCGUGAGUGACGGUAAUGGGUAAAGAAGCACCGGCUAACUACGUG
rnacentral:rRNA from 1 species